ACAAAACCAGAACGCCCGCGGGUUGCAUGGGCGCUCCCUCCGGCGGUCUUCUCGCAUUCUACUCGCGUACGAUUUCUCUGCGGGGAAUGAGCGCGGCAAUAAUGGCGCACGGGGAGGGGAAUCGAGGUCGACGGACGGCGCCGAACCCUCUCCUCUCCCCUUCUUGUGAUUCGUUAAAUACCGUCGGGGUGGGAUGGUAGGAGGCGUAUUCCUCUCCCGGCCUGUUCUUCCCCGCGGCUGCCGGCGGCCGGAGCUUCCGCCCGUCCGCGAGUCGUGCUCAGCACCCGCCACCCGUUCGACGAAAUGGGCAAGAAGGCUGCUGGCACCGGCGAGGAUCCCUUCCGCCUCCUCCCCGACGACCAGCUCGACCACAUCCUGUCCCUUCUGCCGGGAGAUGAUGCCCUGCAGACUUGCUUGCUUGACACCCAGUGGCGUUACUUUUGGAGGCGCAAUCCCUGCACUGGUGUGGACCAUAUCAGUUUCAAACAAACCAAUCGAUUGAUUAACGAGUACUCCCUCCGUCCGGAAAUACUUGUCGGGGAAAUGGAUGAAUCUAGACGUAUUUUAAUUAUAGAUACAUCCAAUUUUAUCCAUUUCUCCGACAAGUAUUUUGGGACGGAGGGAGUACAUUUUAAAGUGCCGCUGUGUUCUGUGGACGCACCAGUAUCACCUGGUACACGUCUCAUCUCCCGCCACUUGAGGCACACAACAUUUUAUUAUGUUGACCUCAUAGAUUCCUCGGCGGAUUUCUCGGGCUGCCCAGUAUUAGAGCAGCUAACAAUACAAAGUUGCCUUGUUGACGCGUUUGAGAUUUUUGUUGUUGUUGAAAAGGAGGCGUACCUCCGGCCUCUGCAUCAAUCGAUGCAUGCUGCCCAGUAUUAGAGCAGCUAACAAUAGAAAGUUGCCUUGUUGACGUGUUUGAGAUAGUACGUUCUAAAUCACUAAAGCAUCUGUGAUUCAUUGGGGAGGACAAUAUCUUCCCUGAGGAUAUCCACAUGGAUAGUGAUGCCCCAUGUCUUAUCUCGUUGGAACUAGGAGAUUCUCAGGGCUUGACUCCUUCCCUUGAGGAGAUGCCAUUACUGGGAAAAGCAUCCAUUUUGCUUGGCCGUGCGUACUGUGGUGUCUGUGAAACUGACGAGGACGAUUUUCUUACAUGUGGAUGUGCCAGCGAGAAGUGUCUGCUUCUCAACGGAUUGUCCAAUGCUGUUGAGUUGAAAUUGAUUGCUAUGCCUGAAUUGGUAUGCUCUGCACUAUCUUUCUUACUCUUACUGUUACUUUGCCAGUUGCCACCCAUAGUUUCUGUUGUAGCUGUAGUAUUUAUAUCCAUUGUUAGAGCCGCAUAUAGUCUAGUUACUUAUUUUCACACCACAGCUUCCUAACUUCAUCUUCACCCAUUGGGCCUGAAAUCAACAAAUUAAUAACAUCGUGGCUCUAUUGGAUAAAAUGUGAUAGUUUGCGGACAUAGUAUAGAUUUUCUUUUCCUAGUUUUGAAAUUAAAGUAUCUAACUGAAGUUCCUAGUAUAUUGUACCAGAGUCUCAGACUGUUUUUUUCUGUUCAUUUGCAAUUUGUCCAGCUUAUCUUCAAACAGGAUUUGGAAUGGUGCCCUAAUUCUGACAAAUAAAAGACUCUCGUACUCAAUGAGUGGUUUACGGCUAUUGACCUAUUUUGCAUUCUCCAACAAUCUCCAAAUCUUGAGAUACCCACUCUUCAGUGUUAUGACACCGUGGUAUAUGCUGUAUGGAUAACAAUGUUGCUAUAUUAUUUAAGGUGUUUUCAUGGAUGCUGUAUUUGCCUUACUAAGUGCUCUUAUCUGAUAGAACAUUGUAGGAGCAACAGGAGCCCAGGAAACAAUAGAGCAGCCACUUGUGUGUGCACACCUUAAUUAAGUUUGUUUACAUUGAAUGUGACGAGGUUGAUGAGGGAGUAGUGAAAUUUUGAAUAUCUUAAGUAGAUGCGGCAUACUUAGUGAGCAAAUUACCAUCAAGGCGGGUCUGUGUCCAUACUCAGAUUGUAAGUUACCUUUGUCUAUAUUUAGGAUCCAUUAUAGGUCAGAUUGUAUGACAACCCUUCCAACAUGUCUGAUGUAAUUACACAUGACUUAGAAUGUAUGACACAGACCCCCCCUCCAAAUCCAUCCAUAUUUUGUAUUCAUUAUCCUUCACUAUAAAUUGGAUCUGCAUGCUGAUGGAGCUUAGAAUGACUGUUAUAUUUCAACAUAGUUUAUUAUUCUGUAAUUGCUGGUCACACUACAAUAAGUAGCCCACAUUUUUUAUUCUCCUCUUUUUUUUCUGUUCAAAAAAUUAUAGAUCUGUACCAUCCAUGCAAAAUCAUUUUGUAUUCUCUUCUCAUUUUUUUUUCAGUUCAAAAGUUAUCUAAUCCUUUUACUGUUUAUUGGGUGAUGAAAAUAGUAGCUGUUCUCAUCUUGACAUUCAGUUUAGGUCUUCUCUCGUGUUCCAUUUGGUAGAAUAUAUAUCACUAAGAAUGAUAGUGGGUAGAAUGUACAGUAUAGUGCUCUGCAUCCAUCCAGCAAGGACUGCCUUUGCCUCGCUGUAUUUACUGUUGUUCCCCGAGUCUUAUCUCACUCUAGUUGGAUGAUUUUUAAGGUGCCAUUGCUAGAAACAGCCUAUGUCCGACCUAACGAUGGAUGUCAUGAUUUCCGUCACAAGAACAGGCGGGAUUUUGGUAUUUUAUCUUCAUCUAAUGCACCCCAAUCAUUGGCUAAUAAUAGUGUCUUGAUUGGAUAAAAAAAUAUGAUAUUUUAGGUUCUUAUAGCAUAAAUUAUUUAAUCUUCUAGAGUCUCAGAUUCUUUUUUGUUCUUUGCAAUUUGUUCAGUUUCUCUACAGACGGGAUUUGAAAUGGCGUCCCAUCUUUGGCAAAAUGAAGACUCUGUUACUCAAUGAGUGGUUUAUCUUCAUUGUCGCAUUUUGUUUCUCUACAGACGGGAUUUGAAAUGGCGUCCCAUCUUUGGCAAAAUGAAGACUCUGUUACUCAAUGAGUGGUUUACGGCCAUUAACCUAGUUUGCAUUCUCCGACAGUCUCCAGUCCUUGAGAUACUCACUCUUAAGCUUGAUAACACUGAGAAAAUUGUAGGAGCAAGUCCGUUUACGUUGAAUGUGAAGAGGUUGACGAGGGAGUUCGUGCAAUCUUGAAUAUCUUAAGUACAUGUGGCAUACUUCAUGAGAAGAUUAGCAUCAAGGAGGGUCCACAUACGAACUCAGAUUGUAAGUUACCUUUGUCCAUAUUUAAUAUUUAUUACGAAUUAGAAUGUAUGACAAUUGACAACCCUUCCUACUUGUUCUAACAUGUCAGCUGGAAUUACACAUCAAUUAUAGUAUCUCCACAUCAGACCAAAAAACAGUCUUAGGUGUGGAGAGAGAAGAUUUUUGGUCUCCAUUUUUUUCUGCUAUUGCAGUAAUUGCAAUGUUGUAAAAACUGGAGACCAAAACUUUAGAUUCUACUUCUACCACACAUCUUUGUGCACUUGCAAAAUAAUAUCAAACUCAUUUCAAAUUAUUCCAAAACAAAUAAAGCACUAGUACUUAUUUAUUACAUAGUCCAUCAGUCACAACCCCAAAUUCAACACCCUUAUUCGUCAAACAUAACACAAAGUGCAUCAAACAUAACAUGAAACAUAGAAGUAGAAGUGUAGAACUAGUGGUCUUGUUGCCCAUUCCAUGUUUACACUCCGCCAUGAGAUCUUGUUAAAGACGUUCAUGACUAUCCACAUCUUGAAUUUCUUGAUGAACUUCAAGAAAGUGUCGGAUGCGGGUUGUCCUUCUACGAGGAUGCACCACCCUUCCUGUUAAGUCAUAGUAGCAAUAAUCCAAAUCUUGGCCAAACUCAUGCUCAAUGAUUAUGCUGUGCAAGAUCACUGUGGUAGUCAUGAUGUAUCGAAGGAUUUCUUGUUCCCAAAACAGAGCCGGUCCUCGCUUUAUGAUUUCAAGUGAUUUUUUCGACCAGAGCUCAAUGAUUUCAAGUGAUUUUUUUGACCAAAAUUUGAAGUUUAGAGUGUGGGUGCUGCGGAAGAACUGCGCCAGCAGGCUCGAGAGAGACAUCACGCACCGGGAGCAUGUAGGGGAGCUGGCGAAAGCGAAGGGCGAACUUGCCGUGACGGUAUGCAUCCCAGUAAACCCCUGGGUUCCUAGAACUUCCAGGUGCCACCUUCGGGAGUGACGAACUCGCCACCCUGGUUGUCUGCGUUACCCCGAUGCUCCCGUAUCCCGAAGAGCUGAUUGAGUUAGCACACGACACGCGCGCGCGAGGCUGAGAAGACGUACUGUUGAGACCGGAGCCACCUCCGGGAGUGACAAACUCGCCACCCUGGUUGUCUGCGUUAC